ensembl:lncRNA
CCCCGCCCCCGCCACGCCACGCCACGCCCCACCCCGAGACUGUCGGAAGCCCAUCCAUGCCGCGUGUUCAGUAAAGGGGUGACCCAGCAUGUACCUCACGGGCUGAGCAACUUCCGGAUAAACAGGGAUACAGUCCGGAUACGUCCCAGAGGCAGGGAGGUGGCAACGUACAAGCCGCUGCACCUAAUGGGAAGGAAAAAUAGAAAAGGAGCCGACGCCAAGGCUGCCCCCACCUCAGCGAGAGGCGGCCCCCAGUCACUGAGACCAGGAGGUCCUACCUGCCGGCUCCAGAAAGCCAGGUGUGAGCCCUUAGCAGAGACACCGAUUCCCGGAACGCAGAGCCACGCUCUGUGGGUGUCGCAGAAGUGAAGUGAGCUCUGCAGAGGACCGGGACGCCUGGCUGGAAGAAGCGUCGUUUUCCUCCCACCUUCUCCAAGGAGUUGGACGGCUUCUCAAGCCCGAAGUGGCGGUCUGCGGGGUGCGGACUGGCUCACGCCGGCCUGUGGCCCCAGGACGGCACGAGCUCCGGGGGACACACUUCGGUCUGGUCCUUUCUUCGUCCUGGCCCCACUUCCAGCCCCAGGUGCAAAGCCUUAAAAUGACAUUUCCGUUGCUUUUCUUACGAAUGGCCAGGGAAGGUUCGAGAGAGGAAGCGGUGUGUGAUGAAGGGGGUCCCAGAGGGCAAGCCACGUGACCAGCCAGCCAAGCCCACCUUCCAGAGCCUUGGCUGGUUCACCCCAUCGUCACACUAGUGUCCUCUCUCCUCAGGAAUUAGCCCCAUGGUCUCCCAAAAUAAAGGUUUAAAUCAGUU